GGGGAUGUGGCUCAGCGGUACAGCGCUUGCCUCACGAGUGCAAGACCCUGGGUUCGAUCCUCAGCAUCACAU
rnacentral:tRNA from 1 species